rnacentral:rRNA from 1 species
GACGAACGCUGGCGGCGUGCCUAACACAUGCAAGUCGAACGAAGUGGCGAACGGGUGAGUAAUUCGUGGGUUACCUGCCCUCCGUUUUGGGAUAAGCCUUGGAAACGGUGUCUACUACCGAAUAAAGGGGGCUGGGCUGGCGUCGUAUCAGCUUGUUGGUGGGGGUAUGGCCUACCAAGGCGGUGACGGGUCGCCGGCCUGGGAGGGAUGCCCGCCACAAUGGGACUGAGGCACGGCCCAGACUCCUACGGGGAGCAACAGGUGGGGAUCUUCCGCAAUGGACGAAAGUCUGACGGCGCAAAGGCGCGGGGGUGGUAACAGCCUUCGGGUUUUAAAGCUCUAUCGGGGCGGAUGCGGUACCGGAAUAGAAAGCCACGGCUAACUACGUGCCAGCAGCCGCGGUAAUUC